UAUUGUGGGUGGUUAUAAACACAGAAAAAUUACAAAAAAAGUAGACAAAACAUAGGUUUAUGACUAAUUUUUACAGAAUCAUUUCACAAAAGCUUUAUCUCAUGUUCUUUGCUUGGGGUUUUGGUUGGUGGUUUUUGGGGGGGUUUUUUGAGUUGGUUUUUUUUUUUUUUCAGAAUAAAAUACAAACCAAUUAAAGAUAUAUUUGAAGAAACCAAUACAAAUUUAACAGUCACCAGAGAGUGUGUAUGAGAGAGCUUUUCUGUGGUCCAUAGGUGAGGUCAUCUAUGUGAGAUCCAAACUCCAAAGGGUCCUGGAGAGGACAGGAUUUUAGAACAUCACAGUUCUGGCAACAGACCGUGACCAGGUUCCAUUUUUCAUUGCUUCAGUUUGUUGUCCUCAGAGCUUAUGUGCCACCUUUCAAAUCAAGCGUACAAGCUUCCUUUAUUCAGUGUGCUUGCAGCAUUGCAACACAGAAAUGCUGCAGCAGCUCUUCCUGAAGCUCUUCGAAAUUAGACCAUGGCAGAGGAUCAGAUCAUUCUGGGUACCUACUACAUUCUAUGUGAACAACAUGACACAGGACCUCUCUGUGUGAAGUUCUUCAUGAAGAGAUAAUGUGCCUAAAGGACAUUUCCUUUAGUGUCUUAGAAAGAGCAGGGAAUGGAAGAAAUUCUUGCUACAUAGGUUAUUUUUAAAAUAAUAAUUAAUAAUAUCCAGUUCAUACUCUCUACACUGAUAGAUAUUUGCAUAUCAAUAUAAUAAUCAAAAGCUUUAAAGCUUUGCACGCGCUUAAGGCCAUUUACAACAAGAUUUAACAGAUGCAUAUAAUUCUUAUUUCAUGUACUCUGAAUUAUUAGAAGAAUCUGGAGUAGCUUUUAAAAGAAGAAGAACAAAACAUAAUACUGCAACUUCUUUCAGGUAAUUCUCAGACUAUCCCCUGGGUAUAGUGUUGAACAAAGCAGAACUGACUAACAUAAAAACAGAAGUUAAAAUUCUGAACAUUUUCAGAACAUAUUCCAAAGAGUUAAGACUCCACUGUGGGCUAUUUAAGUGGCAAUACCACCACCUGAAGGUCCAAGUUCAAAUAAAAAUCCAAACACUUCCUGGUCAGCAAUCAUCCGGAUCCUCACUCAAUGUUCAUUAUUCAUAUGUGGACACCAACCAAAGCUUAUAUGAAGAGAAUGUGUGAAAAAACCAAAAUGUUCUAAAAUGUGAUAAGGAAACUUUUGCUUAGGUUUCUAUAGGAUGCCAGAUGAGGAGACCUUCCUGUUUUAAAGUAUGUGAACAAAAUGUUCUGUCUUCAUAAAACAGGGAAUACUAAUUUAUUAACAGAAAAAUUAACAGAUUUCUUCUUCAAUUUUCAUAAUCAAGUUUAGGCACCAUUUUGUUCUUCACUGCAAUUGUGAUGUUAGAAAAAAAGCUUUUUUGAAAAUAAAUGCAAUACAGUUCUGGACAACUCCUUUUAAGUUCUUCUUAAGCAACGCUAUUAUAGUUGCUAUUAUAGUCAACUGGUUGGGAACAACUUUGCAUAAAACCACACACUCCAUCUGUCAAUGCAUCAGGAAAAGCUGAGAAACCUUGAGAAAGGGUAGAGGUUUAAAGCCUUGCAUACAUGUGAAUUAUUUUUUUUUUUAACUAACUAUCUGGAAAAAAAGAUUGCAUAUAAAUAGUGAGAAGCAUAUUAUAUAAAAUGUUAGGAGGAUUAGAAGGAUAUUAACUAAGCCUGAACCUCUAUUGCAACUUGGAAUAAAAUUUUCUGAGACUUUAAGACUUGUACAUGGUUUUGGAAUGAAUUACAAAACUGAAGAGUAACUAAUUGCAUACAUGAAGAGUCAGAUUAUAUUGUGCAGGUAAGAUGUUAAUGACUGCCUUCAGCAAGAAAAGACAGGUUGCUAUGUUGUAACAUGUUAAAAUAAGGUAUCAGUGCAAGAAAGACAACUACAUAGAACUUGAAAUUUUAGAAGAGAAGGAAAAUGAAAAAGACAUCAAAAUAUUUCAUAGAAUCAUGGAAUCAUCAAAUCAUUACGGUUAUAAAAGACCUCUAGGAUCAUCAAGUCCAACCGUCAGACCAACACUACCAUGCCUCCUAAACCAUGCCCUGAAGUGCCACGUCUACCCGUCUUUUAAAUACCUCCAGGGAUGGUGACUCCACCACCUCUCUGGGCAGCCUGUUCCAAUGCCUGACCACUCUUUCACUGAAGAAAUUUUUCCUAAUACCCAAUCUAAACCUCCCCUGAUGCAGAACGAAGCCUUUUCCUCUCAUCCUAUCGCUAGUAACUUGGGAAAAGAGACCAAAACCCACCUCGCUACAACCUUCUUUCAGGUGGUUGUAGAGCGCGAUAAGGUCUCCCCUCAGCCUCCACUUCUUCAGGCUAAACAACCCCAACUCCCUCAACAUAGAAAUGCUAGUUUAGUGAUCAGAUGAAUCACUAAACUAGCACUGAAACAUCUAAUAUCUGUGUCUCCUAUCUUGAACAGCAGCCUAACAUAAACAAGCGUCUAAAUGCUACUACAUAAAUUCUAAGUAUCAAAGAAUAGGAAAUACCUAAAACAAGUCAAAACCAAAGGAAAUUUUAUCAUUUGGAAAUGUAGAUCCUUCUAGACAGUUUUCUGAUAAAAUAAAAUAUCAUCAUGUGAAAUUAUAACUUACUAAGAAUUUCUGCAUGGUACAUAUGCUGUGCAUAUUGAGGUACCAUAAGGAUUUAUUUUUUCAUUUUUAUGACAUGAAAAAUACAUGAUAAAUAAAUGUGUGUGUCAAAUUU